rnacentral:rRNA from 1 species
GACGAACGCUGGCGGCGUGCCUAAUACAUGCAAGUCGAGCGGACUUGAUGGAGCUUGCUCCUGAUAGUCAGCGGCGGACGGGUGAGUAACACGUGGGCAACCUGCCUGUAAGACUGGGAUAACUUCGGAAAACCGGAGCUAAUACCGGAUACGUUCUUUUCUCGCAUGAGAGAAGAUGGAAAGACGGUUUCGGCUGUCACUUACAGAUGGGCCCGCGGCGCAUUAGCUAGUUGGUGGGGUAAUGGCUCACCAAGGCGACGAUGCGUAGCCGACCUGAGAGGGUGAUCGGCCACACUGGGACUGAGACACGGCCCAGACUCCUACGGGAGGCAGCAGUAGGGAAUCUUCCGCAAUGGACGAAAGUCUGACGGAGCAACGCCGCGUGAGUGAAGAAGGUUUUCGGAUCGUAAAACUCUGUUGUCAGGGAAGAACAAGUACCAUAGUAACUGAUGGUACCUUGACGGUACCUGACCAGAAAGCCACGGCUAACUACGUGCCAGCAGCCGCUGUAAUAC